GACCGGAUGAAUCGGGGAGUUCCUGCUUUGGUUUGACCGCCCCUCCCGUUCAGUCCGGUUC
ensembl:miRNA gmo-mir-11267 gmo-mir-11267